GUCCUUCCUGAAGAAAGGAAAUGUGGAAAGGAAAAACUGGUACCAGCCACUGCAAAUCAACCUACACCAAUCAAUAAACAUAAUCCACCACGGAAACAGAACCAAUGACAAAAAACACAUGAUUAUCUCAAUAGACGUAGAAAAGACCUUUGACAAAAUUCAACACCCCUUCAUGCCAAAAACUCUCAAUAAACUAGGUAUCAAUGGAAAGUAUCUCAAAAUAAUAAGAGCUAUUUAUGACAAACCCUCAGCCAAUAUCAUAUUGAAUGGGCAAAAGCUGGAAGCAUUUCCUUUGAAAACCAGCAAAAGACAAGGAUGCCCUCUCUCACCACUCCUAUUCAACAUUGUAUUGGAAGUUCUGGCCAGGGCAAUCAGGCAAGCAAAAGAAAUAAAAGGGAUUUAAAUAGGAAGAGAAGAAGCCAAUUUGUCUCUGUUUUCAGAUAACAUGACUGUAUAUUUAGAAAACCCCAUCAUCUCAGCUCAAAAUCUCCUUAAGCUGACAAGCAACUUCAGCAAAGUCUGAGGAUACAAAAUCAAUGUGCAAAAAUCACAAGCAGAAUGAGGUUCUUUUUUCCAGCAUGCCAUUUAUUCUAGUUGAGUUUUUGACAGUGUAAAUGAAUUAUUUUCCCAUUAAUAAAAAGUUGGUUAAUAAUAAAACAUGUAUUUAAUUACUUUAGUUGAGAUAUUGAAUAUUUUCUACUUCAUCAGAAAUUUACAUUAGUCUAAUUAUUUUUAAUUAUUUUUAGGUAGCACCACUAAUACAAUGGGAUUUCAUAACAAAUAUUACCCUUUGUUUUGUCACUUUGUAAACCUGUAGAUAUUUUACUUAAAAAUAUUUAC
rnacentral:lncRNA from 1 species